GGAAUUAGAUUUGGUCAAUGGACGCAAGUCUGAACCAGCUAUGCCGCGUGAAGGAUUAAGGUCCUCUGGAUUGUAAACUUCUUUUAUCUGGGACGAAAAAAGGUCUUUCUAGACCCCUUGACGGUACCAGAUGAAUAAGCACCGGCUAACUCCGUGCCAGCAGCCGCGGUAAUACGGAGGGUGCAAGCGUUAUCCGGAUUCACUGGGUUUAAAGGGUGCGUAGGCGGGUAGGUAAGUCAGUGGUGAAAUCCUGGAGCUCAACUCCAGAACUGCCAUUGAAUACUAUCUAUCUUGAAUAUUGUGGAGGUAAGCGGAAUAUGUCAUGUAGCGGUGAAAUGCUUAGAUAUGACAUAGAACACCCAUUGCGAAGGCAGCUUACUACGCAUAUAUUGACGCUGAGGCACGAAAGCGUGGGGAUCAAACAGGAUUAGAUACCC
rnacentral:rRNA from 1 species